rfam:Ruminococcus flavefaciens strain YL228 genome assembly, contig: IE39DRAFT_scaffold00009.9
UUACAAGGUAGAGGCGCGGCUGCGAAUAGUACCUGUGCACGGGACCACCUGUCCUAUGGUGUUCAGCGAAAGGCAAUGCCGCCGAAGAGCUGUCUUUGGUAAAUUCAGCUCUGGCUGCACACUCAACAGGUUUGCAGCUGUCAUCAUGCUUUUGAUGGAGAGCUAUCGGCAUA